UGGUCACUGUCAUUCCUUCAACUGUGCCUGGUAGCCAGGGAUCUCUCUGUCCAGAGACCCUCUUUUUUUUUUUUUUUAAACCCUCUCCAGAAAAUAAACCUCCAGUCUUCAAAGGGCUCCAGCAGCAGCCACCCAGCGGUCUGGAGAAGGAAAAGGGAUCCUCUGAAACACACAAAGGCUGCCACCUCAGCAAGGCAGGACUGCAUCCACCUGGAUCACCACUCUAACCCUGGCACCUGGAUCCUCCGUCAAUAUUCGUGAAUAAACGAAUAAAUUCAAAAUACAGAAAAGAAUACUUAGCACACUGCACUGCCACACUCUUGUUAACGUGCCUAUACCCUCUGCUACACACCAAGCAUGAUUAGAACACACACCUGGCCCAGGGAUCGCAGAAGCUGAAGGAGGAGAUGGGGAACCUGAAGGAGCCACAAGCCCAGCUGCUGCUCCAUGCCGACCAGGAGAGCCAACGUCAACGUGCAGCAGCUGCAACAGCGUGAUGCCCUGCACUAACUUCUGAGAAUUAAAAGAAUAUGGCUGCCAUCUCAUGCCUCAUUCCAAAUAUCAGGCAAAGCAUCUCCUGAGCCCAGGUCAACCCAGAACUAUGCAGGGAGAGGACUUCUUGGAAACAUAGCUCCAGCUUAGCAAAGUUGACACAAUGUAAAUCUGCUACACUGUCUCCCCUAGUUGCUUCACUGUUACAAGUUUACAAAUGAAGAUUUCUUGAAUUCCAUUGCCAACUGCUUCCCAUAAUUCUGAAGUAGGCAGGGGUGUAACUAGGUCAGCCAUCUUAUGUCUGUUUUUUCUGGGACCCCCCCCCAAAAGAAAAACUGCACUUUGAGUGGCUGUCCCUGCUGAAUUGACUCUCCUAAAGCAGUUCUAUGUGUCUUCCAGAACCGAAUAUGUUAGUUUGUUAUUUAGUCAGGAACAUGCCCUCACAGUGUUGCAAACAGGAAACUGAAUUACGAAAAUCUAGAGGGCUGUAAGGCACACCCAUCUUUUUCUACCCACUAGUUAUCCACCUUGUUCUAGCAUCUGCACUUCAGUUUUCCUCUGGGAAACAAGCCCUUCCUUCACUCUUAGUUUACAAGGUUAUGAGCUGCUCUCCCUGCCCUCCAUCAAGGAGUGCACUCACAAAGGAGGCUAAGCCAGUCAGUUCUCUGCAUUCCCUGGCUGCAGCGAUUGGUUCAGGGAUAGACACGUGAUCCUCCUUAGGCCAAUCCAAGCCAUCAAGACCCAGGUCAGAAUUAGGAUUUGGUUUAUGGGAGAAGACUCACUCGGGUCUUGAACCUGGAGAGGGGAGCCUAUCUGAGAAUUGAUCUAACACAGUGAAGGCAAAGAUAGGACAGGAAAUGAAAACAAAAACAAAAAAACAGGUCCUAGUGACAUCCUUGGAGCCCUUUGGCAUGUCCUGCCUGAAGCCAGCCUUUCCCAGGGCUUUUCAGUGACUAUUUCCCAACUCUGUCCUCCUGUGUGUGUUACCAGCCAGGCAUUCAAUAGUUCAACUUAAUUAACUUUUCUUGUGCAUGUAUUGCACAAUCUCCACCAAUAUUAGCAACAUUUACUGAAUGCCAGGUACUUUGUUGAGUGUUUUAUGUAGGAAACCUUAUUUAACCCUCACAACAUCCUUAUGAGGCAGAUGCUAUUAGUUAUCCUCCUUUUUUAAGGGAGGAGACUGAAACUUAGAGGUGUGAAGGUCAAGUGGAGGCCUAGGUCAUACAGGUGAGAAGCAAUCAAUACCCAGAUAGAGCUCUAAACAACACAGUCAUCAUUAUUAUGGCUAGCUCUCAGAAUCUUCAUUUAUUUGAUUCCAGAGCCUAUUCUCUUAACCAUCAGAAUGGCUCCUUUUCUGUGCAAAAUACCGUUAGACAUAAGGAGGUUGCAGAAAUUAAUAAUGUAUAUUUUCUGCCCCACAGGGAGGUUACCAUUUAGUGGAGGAAUUCUAUAUACCCAGAAAUAACUGUGGGGCAGCAAGUAAGGGAUACUUUUACCUCCACCUCCAUUCUGACCCUGGCUUCUGAGCAGUGGUCUCAAGAUCAUGGCAUCAUAGUUAACCUAAAUACGCAUUCACACAGAAGACUUAC